ACAAUAAGUUUGAAGUAGGAUAUAAGCAGAUUCAGUUUUAGUUCAAUGAGUAGUUGAUAAUUUCAUUUACAUUAUAUUGACCGUAACAACAAUAAUGUUUUCAUGAUUUUUUCUUUAAAUUUCUUUUACUGUAUAAUGUUUCAUUAUCUUUUCUUUACAUGAUCCUUGAUCUAUUUUUUUUAGAUGGAAAGGCAGGACAAAAACCUGGUGUGAAAGUUAAAUGAGGACACAAGGUGGAUUGUCCAAUUUUGAUCUGCAAUUUCAGCAAAGAGAAAAUUGGCAAAGCUCUACCAGGAACAAGUUCCAAAAAUACAAACAACGCUAAGGAAUUUAUCAUUCAGUUUUCAAAAGAAGUUUAUACACAAUUAGGCCGACGUUUGAUCGUUGUAUUGACACACAAGGACACCUUGCAGAAAGAGGAAAACAUAAAAGACUGGCUUGUCAGCGACUGUGAAAUACCUCGAGAUAAUAUAUGGACCUUUGAAAACUACACACAUAAAGAUCAUGACGAAAGUAUUGACAAGACUGUUGAUCUCUUGAGCUUUAUUUUGAAGUGUGUGAAAUUGUCGGAGCAAAACAUCGAAUUCAGACGUAAGAACGAAACCGAAAAGAAGGAUGGGUCUACGUGUCUAAUAUCGUAGGUGACAAGAACAUUUAUAUUUUAAACUGUAUGUUUCUUUAACUGAUAAAAGAGACGGUACUACAUUUGCAUAGUAAUUCCGGAGGGUUCGAUAUUAGAAAAAAAAAUGGAAGUAUUCAAAGAUUUUGUAAACCUUCCUAUUGAUUGUAUUAAAGGGCAACUCAACCUUCAUAGGUUUAUUUGUAUGAAAGCAGAAAAGGGAGAGAAACAGAUUGGUUAAAGUGUGAAUUAAAUAGAACCCAUAAUAAGAAAGUUUCUGAUGCUUCAGAUAUACGAUUACUAAAUCUGUGCGAAUCUCAAGUUGGCAGUUUGGACAAUGGAUUGUGAGAUGGUCGUGGACAACUCUCCCGAUUGUCGUGUACAAACAAUAUAUUACUUAAAUUCCUGUUUUUCUCCUAUGUAGCUUCUCCAUUGGGUAUUAGCCAAAACAUAGUAGUAAUGGGCUAAUGGCAUAUACCUUUCCGGGUCAUACAUUUUGACAAAUUGACAUUUUAGCCAUUUUGUGUAUUGGAAUCAGUGGGAAAGUUGUCCAGGACUACAUUACAAUAACAUUACAGAUUCACCAAAUUUGAAGUUCCCAUACAAAUAGUUAUUACAACUUAAACACAAAUCACAACUUUCUCAUUAAUUUUUGUGUAUGAUUUCAUUCGAUCUUUCACCAGACUCUGAUUUCUCUGCUUCUAUAGAGUUGUUGGCUAUUCAGGUUAGAUUACCUUUUAAUGUAACUGUACUAUAGCUUUAAGUAGACAAUAAAUCAGAGAAAGACUACUUUCGAUAAUCAUAAUGUUCGUAAUUCAAUGAGACUUGGUAAUGUAUCAUUAUGUAUGAGACUGUGAAAUAACAAAAUGCCUCGGUCAAGCUCAUUUUAAAUCUCAUUAUCGACGUUGCAAUGCAUAAAUUCAUCAAAAUAAUUAUUAUGGAAAAUACCUUUUUUUUUAAAUAUGCUUUGAAUAUGUUCAUACUUUUACUUCGUUCACCUUACUGGUCAUACGGUAAUAUAAACAGAUGCCGC